GGUUGUGAUGAUUGUUGUUUAGAACCAAGCAGAUUCAAUGUUCGCAGGAAGACAGUUUGUGAAGAACAGGUCUGUCAUCAUGUCAGGCCUAUGUUGUCCCUUGGAUUGCCAAAGAUGCCAGGGACCAUAACCACGAUCCCCUAUUGCUUUAUCAACAGAGCAGAAUUCCAAAGGUAAAGCACACACUGCAGGAUUACAUUGUGCCACAGUAAAUGAGUCAAGGACAGUGGCUGAUAGUUUACCCCCUGCAGUGCAGGCACAAUUAGAGAGUCUGUUAAUUGGAUUGUGUUC